AAGACUAUACUUUCAGGAAUCAUUUCUGUACUUCACUACUAGAGAACUUUCUCUGAACCUGUAGAGCACCAGAAACCAGGAAGAGCACAGGGUUCUCUUCUGAACAUGAAGCCAGCCCUUGGUGCUGUGUCUUUGCAACUGACAUUUACCAUCAAUGAUUGUUCUUCUCUUCCUUUGGGAGAGUGAGAGGGAGAGGAUGAAGUCUGAAUGGU